CGGGAUAGCUCAGUUGGUAGAGCA
rnacentral:tRNA from 1 species